GUCUAUGGCCAUGCCACCCUGAACAAGCCCGAUACCAUUUGAUCUCAGAAGCUAAGCAGGGUCGGGCCUGGUUAGUACUUGGAUGGGAGACCACCUAGAAAGACCAGGUGCUGUAGGUG
rnacentral:rRNA from 1 species